rnacentral:rRNA from 1 species
GACGAACGCUGGCGGCGCGCCUAACACAUGCAAGUCGAACGAGCGAGAGAGAGCUUGCUUUCUCAAGCGAGUGGCGAACGGGUGAGUAACGCGUGAGGAACCUGCCUCAAAGAGGGGGACAACAGUUGGAAACGACUGCUAAUACCGCAUAAGCCCACGGCUCGGCAUCGAGCAGAGGGAAAAGGAGCAAUCCGCUUUGAGAUGGCCUCGCGUCCGAUUAGCUAGUUGGUGAGGUAACGGCCCACCAAGGCAACGAUCGGUAGCCGGACUGAGAGGUUGAACGGCCACAUUGGGACUGAGACACGGCCCAGACUCCUACGGGAGGCAGCAGUGGGGAAUAUUGCACAAUGGGGGAAACCCUGAUGCAGCGACGCCGCGUGGAGGAAGAAGGUCUUCGGAUUGUAAACUCCUGUUGUUGAGGAAGAUAAUGACGGUACUCAACAAGGAAUGACGGCUAACUACGUG